GCUGGGCGGGGCGGCCGGGCCGUGGUGCCCUCAGGACAAUGCCCUCCGCAGGGUCCCCCCCCGCCGGCCCCUCCCUGGGCAAGGGCGGAGCUCGUUCAGCAGGAACCCCGGUGCUGGGACCUGAGCCCAGGGCCACCUGCAUCGCGGCCCAACCUGUCUGGGGCCUCGUCCUCUCUCGUGUACACACAGGAGCUCCUGGCACCCCGGAGGGCAGCCCCCAACCCUGAAACACACAGCGGCAGCGGCCUGACCUCCCCGGCACUCUCUACGUCAUGUGUCUCAGAUGGGGACCUGUGAGUCCCGGAACCUGACUCACGGGUUUGUGUCCACUCCUGGGCCAGGUGGUGUGUCUCUCGGGACCAAGUGGAUGUUGAGAUACCAGCCGGACAGCUAUUAUACCAAUGCAGAAAGAAGGAAAUGGUGGCUUGGGUACUAGUGCCGGGGGACGGGGGAGAGGACAUGGUUGCUUGGGCCAAAGGAUGGUGCUGAAGUGGGGAGAAGGGGUCUGAUUCCAGGUAUGUUUUGAAGGUGAAGCCAACAAGAGUUGCUGACAGAUUCAGCGUGGGGAUGAGAGGAAAGGAGAGUCUGGGCUGAGCCCAGGGUCUCGCCUAACUAGCUAGAGGGAUGAGGCCACGCUGACCCAGUGGGGAGUGGGGAAGGGCAGUGCAGGGAGGACAAUGGGGAGUUUGUUCUGAGCAUGUCCUGGCUGAGAUGCCUGCUGGACUUCAAGCUCAAGAAACCUCUUGGAUUUAAAUCUAGAGUUGAGAGGAGAGGUUGUCCUUCAGGGGUCCAUAUGAAAGCUUCAGGUGCUUCCGAGGGAUCCUCUGGCAUGACAGGUCUGAGCCCGUCUUUCCCUCUCCGGCACUGCAGGGCUCCCGCAGUUCUGCUUAGAUUCCUAGCAGCCUCUGCUCAGCCCCUCUGCGCUCACCCUGUGCUGCUUGCAAACAGACACCCUGGACUGUUGGGAUCCUUUCCUCUCCCCGGGAUCUUGUCUCUCCAAGCCCUGGCUGUGUGAGCAGUCCUGCACUCUGAUUCUCGUCUUCCUGCUGGCACGACAGUGUUGAAAGCUCCUCUGAGCUUCUCGGAUUCUCAGCAGACCUCCCUGCUCAGCUUCUCAGCAUCUCUGCUCAUGCCAGUUAUGAGUUUGCGGUUGCCCCAAAGGGUGCAGAAGUUCGGGUCACCUCAACGCGUUUCCCUCCCCCACAAUGUCUUGGGCCUUCAGGUCCUGGCUGCCUUGGUAACUCUCUGACACAUUGAGACACAUGUGGUCAUUUGUUUUCUCCAACCUGGUUGAUGGAAGCCAAAAGUGGACUCCUUUUUAUUUUUUUGUUUUUUGACAGGGUCUUUCUCUUUUGCCCAGGCUGGAGUGCAGUGAUGCGGUCACAGCUCACUGCAGCCUCAACGUCCUGGGCUGAAGCCAUCCUGCCGCCUCAGCCUCUUGAGUAUCUGGGAGCACAGGUGUACACCACCAUGCCCGGUUAAUUUAUUUUUGUAGAGACGGUGUCUCGUCAUGUUGCCCAGCGUUCCGCCUAGGCCUCCCGAAGUGCUGGGAUUGCAGGUGUGAGCCACUGUGCCCAGCCUCCUCGUUUUUCUUACAGUUGUGUUUCACUUUAUGGAUCUAUUAUGAUUUAUAUAACAACCUCUUAUCAACGGGCUUUUAGGCCAUUGUAAAUAAUGCUGCAGUGAGUAAUUUCACACAUAGACGGCCUCACCUGUGCGCAAUGGUAUCUAUAGGAUAAGCAGAAUUGCCGGGCCAAAGGGCAGAUGCAUUUACAUUUUUAUUGAUGUUGCCAACUUCGUGGCCAUAAACGUUGUGCUAACUUGUCCUUUCAUCAGCUAUGUACGAGAGCGCCUGCUUCCCCACAAGUCUGUCAACAUUGAGGGUUGCCUGGCAUUUUGCUUUUUGCCAGUCUGACCCGUCAUAAAAUGGAACCUCCAUUUAGUUUCAAUUUGUGUUUCCUUGUUACCAGUGUGGUUGGGUGUCUUUCUAUGUGUUAAAAUGCCAGUUGCCGGCCGGCGCUGUGGCUCACGCCUGUAAUCCCAGCACUUUGGGAGGCCAAGACGGGUGGAUCACGAGG